AUUGAACGCUGGCGGCAGGCCUAACACAUGCAAGUCGAACGGUAACAUGACUAGCUUGCUAGUUGAUGACGAGUGGCGGACGGGUGAGUAACGCGUAGGAAUCUACCCAGUAGCGGGGGAUAAGCCAGAGAAAUUUGGAUUAAUACCGCAUACGCCCUAAGGGGGAAAGCAGGGGAUCUUCGGACCUUGCACUAUUGGAUGAGCCUGCGUGAGAUUAGCUUGUUGGUGAGGUAAUGGCUCACCAAGGCAACGAUCUCUAGCUGGUCUGAGAGGAUGAUCAGCCACACUGGAACUGAGACACGGUCCAGACUCCUACGGGAGGCAGCAGUGGGGAAUAUUGCACAAUGGGCGCAAGCCUGAUGCAGCCAUGCCGCGUGUGUGAAGAAGGCCCUAGGGUUGUAAAGCACUUUCAGCAGUGAGGAAAGGUUGUAGGUUAAUACUCUGCAACUGUGACGUUAACUGCAAAAGAAGCACCGGCUAACUCCGUGCCAGCAGCCGCGGUAAUACGGAGGGUGCAAGCGUUAAUCGGAAUUACUGGGCGUAAAGCGCGCGUAGGUGGAUUGGUCAGUCAGAUGUGAAAGCCCAGGGCUCAACCUUGGAACUGCAUCUGAUACUGCUAAUCUAGAGUACGGUAGAGGGUAGUGGAAUUUCCCGUGUAGCGGUGAAAUGCGUAGAUAUAGGAAGGAACACCAGUGGCGAAGGCGACUACCUGGACUGAUACUGACACUGAGGUGCGAAAGCGUGGGGAGCAAAUAGGAUUAGAUACCCUGGUAGUCCACGCCGUAAACGAUGUCUACUAGCCGUUGGGAGACUUGAUCUUUUAGUGGCGCAGCUAACGCGAUAAGUAGACCGCCUGGGGAGUACGGCCGCAAGGUUA
rnacentral:rRNA from 1 species